rnacentral:rRNA from 1 species
AAUUUUUGAAGAGUUUGAUCCUGGCUCAGGACGAACGCUGGCGGUGCGCUUAAUGCAUGCAAGUCGAACGAACCCAUCCGCUUCGGCGGGGACGGAGAGUGGCAGACGGCUGAGUAACACGUAAGUGACCAACCCCGGAGCGGGGGACAAGCCGGAGAAAUCCGGUCUAAUACCCCAUACGUUCCAUUAGCUAAGGCUAAUGGAAGAAAGAUUUAUUACUCUGGGACGGGCUUGCGGCCUAUCAGAUAGUUGGUGGGGUAAUGGCCUACCAAGUCUAAGACGGGUACCCGGUGUGAGAGCACGAACGGGCAGAGGGGGACUGAGACACGGCCCCCACUCCUACGGGAGGCAGCAGCAGGGAAUCUUGCGCAAUGGGCGAAAGCCUGACGCAGCGACA